rnacentral:rRNA from 1 species
UACAGGGGGUGCAAACGUUGCUCGGAAUCAUUGGGCGUAAAGCGCACGUAGGCGGCUUAGCAAGUCCCAUGUGAAAGCCCACGGCUUAACCGUGGAAGUGCAUCCGAAACUGGCGAGCUAGAGUACGAAAGAGGAUCGCGGAAUUCCCGGUGUAGAGGUGAAAUUCGUAGAUAUCGGGAGGAACACCAGUGGCGAAGGCGGUUGCCUGGGGCUUUGCUGACGCUGAUGCGCGAAAGCGUGGGGAGCGAUCCGG